UACAGAGGGUGCGAGCGUUGUUCGGAAUUAUUGGGCGUAAAGGGCGCGUAGGCGGUGCGGUAAGUCACCUGUGAAAUCUCCUGGCUCAACUGGGAGCUUGCAGGCGAAACUGCCGUGCUGGAGUGUGGGAGAGGUGAGUGGAAUUCCCGGUGUAGCGGUGAAAUGCGUAGAUAUUGGGAGGAACACCUGUGGCGAAAGCGGCUCACUGGACCACAACUGACGCUGAGGCGCGAAAGCUAGGGGAGCAAACAGG
rnacentral:rRNA from 1 species